rnacentral:rRNA from 1 species
GAUGAACGCUAGCGGGAGGCUUAACACAUGCAAGUCGAGGGGCAGCAUAGGGUAGCAAUACUCUGAUGGCGACCGGCAAACGGGUGAGUAACGCGUAUGCAACCUACCCUGUACAGGGGGAUAACCCGGAGAAAUUCGGACUAAUAUCCCGUAAUAAUAUCCGGAGGCAUCUUUGGAUAUUUAAAGUUCCGACGGUACGGGAUGGGCAUGCGUAACAUUAGCUGGUUGGUAAGGUAACGGCUUACCAAGGCUAUGAUGUUUAGGGGUCCUGAGAGGGUGGUCCCCCACACUGGUACUGAGACACGGACCAGACUCCUACGGGAGGCAGCAGUGAGGAAUAUUGGUCAAUGGGCGCAAGCCUGAACCAGCCAUCCCGGUGCAGGAAGACGGCCCUAUGGGUUGUAAACUGCUUUUCCAGGGAGAGAAACUUACGCACGUGUUGCGUGACUGACGGUACCCUGGGAAUAAGCAUCGGCUAACUCCGUGCCAAGCAGCCGCGGUAAUAUCACGUGUACCG